CGCUGGCGGCGUGCCUAAUACAUGCAAGUCGAGCGGAAUGAUGAAGAAGCUUGCUUCUUCUGAUUUUAGCGGCGGACGGGUGAGUAACACGUGGGCAACCUACCUUGUAGAUUGGGAUAACUCCGGGAAACCGGGGCUAAUACCGAAUAAUCCAUUUUGCUUCAUGGCGAGAUGUUAAAAGGCGGCUUCGGCUGUCACUACGAGAUGGGCCCGCGGCGCAUUAGCUAGUUGGUAGGGUAAUGGCCUACCAAGGCGACGAUGCGUAGCCGACCUGAGAGGGUGAUCGGCCACACUGGGACUGAGACACGGCCCAGACUCCUACGGGAGGCAGCAGUAGGGAAUCUUCCACAAUGGACGAAAGUCUGAUGGAGCAACGCCGCGUGAGUGAAGAAGGUUUUCGGAUCGUAAAACUCUGUUGUAAGGGAAGAGCACGUACGAGAGUAACUGCUCGUACCUUGACGGUACCUUAUUAGAAAGCCACGGCUAACUACGUG
rnacentral:rRNA from 1 species